rnacentral:rRNA from 1 species
UACGAAGGGGGCUAGCGUUGCUCGGAAUCACUGGGCGUAAAGGGUGCGUAGGCGGGUCUUUAAGUCAGGGGUGAAAUCCUGGAGCUCAAAUCCAGAACUGCCUUUGAUACUGAGGAUCUUGAGUUCGGGAGAGGUGAGUGGAACUGCGAGUGUAGAGGUGAAAUUCGUAGAUAUUCGGAAGAACACCAGUGGCGAAGGCGGCUCACUGGACCGGUAUUGACGCUGAGGUGCGAAAGCGUGGGGAGCAAACAGG